rnacentral:lncRNA from 1 species
GCCAUAACCAUUAAUAAAACCUCAGAAUACAAGGGGGGACAUUGUGCCUAAACCCUAUACUAUAACAACCUAAAAUAAUAUAGGUAUGUCUACAAAUUCUAUGCAUUCUAACAAACACCAUUUAACAAAGAAUGCAUUAUUGAUUACUCUAUUUGCUUUAUAAUUUUGACGACAAACUGGAAAAAUACUGCUAAAAAAGAGUCAUAAGUUAUCAUGUCUAUCAGCUUUCUAGCUAUGAUGCCACUAAAAAUUAUCAGUAAUCCUAAAUUUCCUCAUGCCACUAGAUGGUUGCGACAAUUUGACAAAAUAAAGAACUCACCGCCUCAUUACGGCAAACAUGGCACGAUGCGUGCGCUUACCAGAACAUAGCCCACCAGUAUCUAAAAUAACCAGACAAAAACCAAAAAGAGCAACCUACUUGUGACUUAUAAGAAACUGAUGACUUAUUUCAGCUGCUAACCAAACGAAACUAGGAAACUAAAAAACUUGACCAAAAUAAUAAUAAAAACCCAAAUCCAGGCCAAAUCCAGGCCUUGAAGCCCACUGUCGAAUAGAAGCCCACUAGCCCACAAAUUCUGGCCCAAAGCAGCAACUGCACCCCUUUCUCUUUCCCGCCGCCGUGAAGAAGCCGGCGCCGUCCUUGUCCGAUUCCCACCACUCCUCCUGUCGCCCUCCACCUUAUCUCGUGUCCAGAUUGACCCCCACACCAUGUCCACCACAAACCAACUCUCCCCCCGCCGAACUCCGAUCAAGACCACGUACACAUCCACUCCACCUAGGUAGAUCCAAACCCCAAAUAGAAAUUAGAUCGCCGCCAGCAAUCCUCCAUCGACGACUGCUGGACACCGUCCCUCUCCUACCCAGAGUCGCGACCACCCCGAUCUCCCACCACUGAACCGUCACCAUCUCAUACGCCGCUGCCGACUUCAGCCAAAAGAGCCGUCUGGAACCUCCACCCGAUCGCAGCCUCAGCACGCUAGACUCACCCACACAACACACAUCCCAUCCGACCACCCAAAGCCAACGCUGAAGAGGCUGGAGGCCAUCCCCAAAGCCCUGGAGCAGCCGGACAGGCAAAGGAAUGGCCGGCGGCGCGAUCAAACCCGGACAGGCGAGGGUAUUGAGAGAGAGAGAGUUUUUAUUUUUUUUUAUGAUUAUCUAUUUAUUUAAUCAUUUUAAUUUUAUUUGUAAACUUAUUAUUUUAAUUUGUUUCACGAUUAGUUCUCAUUUUAGAUGAUGAGAUGUGUUAAUAAUAACACAAAAAAUGUGUGUUAAUAACACUAGCCUUAAUUAUAAUAACUCUUAUUUUUGUUUGUAUUAAUUGAUUUAUUAAAGAUGAUAAUAAAAGUUCACAAUUUGGUAAACGUUUUAGGAGAGCCUGAUUUUAUAAUAAAGAUUAACAUUGAUUUUAUAGUAAAGAUUAACAUUGAAUGAGAAAUUAAACCGAAGUCCGAUCCUUCUAUUUAUUGUUUGUUUUGGAACCUAAGCCCAUUGGUUGACAUUCUACUACUUUCUACCUGAUGAAAACACUGGGAAGCUUUGCUCAUUCCUAAAGAAGUUGCCAGGAUCAACCAAGGUCUUAACAUGAACAAGUCUCCUAAAGUUGUUCUUGAAGUACUUCGAACCCCAAAUGCUUGCUUGUGCAUAGCUUGUAUUGCCAUCACUGUUCCUACCCAGAUCAAGAUCCCUAUAAUUCAGAUAGGCAGCUCUAGGAGAUUUUGAAACAUACGGUGCCAUGUAUGCAUACAACCUUCUCAUAAACCUAACAUACUUCUGAGUAUCCUUGCCAUCACCCCAAGUAACCAUAUACUGGAUUUUAUAUAUGUUUCCUUGUCGAUGUGGGAAAGCUGUUUCUGAAUCGGAAAUCUCACUCAUUUUUCCUCCAUAUGGUGUCAAUAUCAAAUAGGAUGUGUUUGCUUCAAGCAACCUCUGCCAUAAGCCUUCCAAGCCAGCUUCUGAGAUGGGUUUAGUCACAUAGUCUGAUUUUGCUUUGUAGAAGAGGCUGAAUUGCUGGCGCUUCAGCAAAAUUUCUAAGGAUUCGUGAAUAGAGUAGCCAGCAAAGUCUAAAACAGAUUGAAUCCAACUCAUCUCGGUGCAAUGGCUUCUUUUUAAACUCAACUCUGGGAAAUUGUCCUGCAUCAGUUGGAGAAGUGUCUCAACCGGGCCAAGAAACAAGGAACCGAAUUCAACUGUAAUAGUGUUGCCACCGCUUCCUAUAACUGAAUGUAGAAAAAGUUCUUCAGGAAGCUUGUCUGCAAUGUUUUGCCAUUUCAAAAGAAGUUUGGUUGCGCCUUGUUCUUUUGUCUUUGAAAUGUCGCAAACUGUUACAGUAGGGGGAACAGGAACCAGUCUAAGUUUCAAUGCUAGAAUGACUCCAAAGCUUGAUCCUCCUCCUCCUCUAAUAGCCCAAAAUAGCCCUUCUCCCAUGGAUUUUCUAUCUAGAAUUCUGCCAUUAACAUCUACAAUUCUGGCAUCAAUGACAUUGUCAGAUGCUAGACCAUAUUUUCGAAAUAUGGUUCCAAAUCCACCUCCACUGAUAUGUCCCCCAACACCAACGGUGGGACAAGACCCUGCUGGAAAGCCAUAGACUUUACUCUUCUGUGCAAUGCUGUAAUACACCUCUCCAAGAGUGGCACCUGAUUUGACCCAAGCACUCUCAUUCUCUAUGUCAACAUCGAUGGAACGAAGAUUGAACAGAUCAAUGAUGAUGAAAGGAGCUCUGGACACAUAAGAUAGGCCCUCGUAAUCGUGCCCCCCGCUUCGGCUUCUUAUUUGUAGGCCAUUUUUCUUGGAGCAAAUUACAGCUGCUUGAACAUGAGAUUCAUCAAAAGGAGUUAUGAUGGCCUCUGGUUUUGGUGUGGAAUUGUUCGAGAAUCUGAGGUUCUGUAUGGAAGAAUCUAACACUGAAGGAUAAGCUGAACUGGUUCUGGUGAGAAUGAUUUCAUUACUGGAGUUAGAGUUCUGAAUAUGGGAGGAAAGGCAUUGCACAAAGCUUUGAGAAAUGGAGCUUGAAGCUAUGGACCAAGCUGAGUUUAGAAGGAUGAAAAGUAGAGGAAAUAGCUUUGCAUGAGAGGUCUCCAUAUCCAUUUCCUCUGCAUAAAAGAUGUGAAAUGCUCUGAGCUUUACAUGCAUACAUAUAUGUGUGUGCGUGAACUUACAUUCAUUUGAAGUCCAAUGACGCGGAGUCAAUGUUACAUUCAUUUGAAGUCCAUUGAAGACAAGUCAAUGUCGUAUGCUUCUGUCUUUCUCUUUGUUUUCCUAUCAGUGUGAGGAAGAUUCCACAAGCGACUUGUGAAUAAUUUACAAUACGUAAGGCAAUACAUAAUGACCGACAGCUAAGCUCUAUUGUUUACAGACUUUGAAUUGGAAUGUCAAUGUCAUCUAGUGCAUGGAGCUUUUCAUCAGAAUUCAAAUGUAUGCUUAUGAAUAUGGAUAUAUACAAGACUAACUGAAAUUGAAUAAGACUAAAAUUCAAAUACUGAUGCUGAUUGUGUACCUCAAUCUUAUGUUAUUAUUGUCUGUAAAUAAACAAGGAAAACCAUCUAGAAGACAGCUCCUUCUGUAUUGGCAUGGUCAGAUUAGCUUAUUUAUUGGUUAUGGCAGCCAUGGCCAGAUUAGAUUAUCUGGCUCUUCUGCACAUUGUUGGAGCACAAUGCUGUGAAGAACAGUAAACAACUGAGAUCUUAAAUUUCUUUGUGGCCUAUUUAUUGUUUUCUUCUCGGGGCCAAUCUGAUCAAUUUAUUUUGGACAGUGUAUUUCCCCCUAGUUGAGAACACAGGGAUGCUUGUUCAUUUCUAAAGAAGUUAGAAGGAAUCAAGGAUCAACCAGGGUCUUAACGUGAACAAGUCUCCUAAAAUUGUUCUUAAAUACUUAAAACUCCAAAUGCUAUCAUUCGAACAAACAUAAGAGACAAAUAUAUAAGAUUGUAGUAACGAAUAACAAAACACGCUAUGAUUGAAAAAGAUCAAGAUCGUUAUGUGAGAUCAACACAGAAUCAAAUUUUUCAUCAACGAAUCAUAUUCAAUAAUAAAAAAUUGAUGUUAGCACUAACCAAGUAACUACCAGGUUGCAAGACUAAUUAUUAAGUAACUAAUACACAGGUAGGCAUCAGUUAGACCUGAACUAGAAGCAAAUUUCUACGCUGAGGUUCUUGUGAGUCUUACAGUGGAUAAGCAGCCAAUUUGGCACCGCCUUAUAAGAAUGGGGCUCCUAUAGGCAGGUAUAGCAGAAAAGCCAGCCGCAUCCCCAUUGAGAGUUUUGAAGUUGAUCCACUAGUCACAGCUAAGUGGAAUCCUGCAAUUAGCAACCAAAGUCAGAACCUUUUCGGAUACUAAAUGCAGAAGAAGACUAAAAAGUUUUAGUUGACUAUCAAUAUCAAGCAUGCCAGUCACUAUUGUAGAAUUUUCUUCAACACUAAUGAAAAAAAAAAAAGUCACAAGUCCACUGUCCACAAAGUCGAGCCUUUCCUUUAUUGCCGCCAUAAUGAUUGAUUUACACCCACCUCAGAAUGAAGUGGAUUAUAACCCUCAAUCUCAGGUACAAGCAGGCCAUGAAAAAAACGAGUAUGAUUAUCUAGAUUUUUCAGUGCCUCAACCACAGAAUGCUUGUUCAAACCUCAAACAGAGGCAGAGAGCAUAAAAGUUUCAAUCUUCAAGUUAAACGAGUGUAAUUGUAUAGAUUAUCGACAGCUUGUUGCGAAACUAUCAUCGAAUAGGUUCAAAUGCAUUGAGAAAUGGAUGUAGAAACAGAAAUAGAUUCGAGGGAAAGUUUCAUUUACUUAGCCUGCAAGGGCCAUAUGAUAAUCCACAAAAGGAAAAGGCCAAAAGAAUCAUCUGCAUUAUGCAGAUGGACACUAGCCUAUGGAGAUAGGACUUGGUCAUUACUUGUGAUCCAUAAGGGACAGCCUCAGAAUAAGAUCACCUAACUGGCCUUGUAUCAUUGCACUCCAAUCUAAUAGUAUAUGGGAUCCACAGGCAUAUUUCUAACCAUGUAAACUACCAUAAAGUCAAGACCUGCCCCUAACUGAAGGUUCUUGGAUUACAACUUCCAAUUAUAGGUGUUUUUUACUCAGAUUAAAGCAUAUGCCAUGUGAAAGGAACAAGCAUUGUGACUUCGAGAAAUCUCUAGCAGAGAUUUUUUCAAGUGUAUGACGUGAAGAAUCCCCGGUUUUAAAUGGUUGAGCCUCUUACACAUAAUCAAUCUAGGACUAAGACUCAUAGGAAGCAAAACCCAUUACAGAACAAAAAGAAAAAAUCAGCUUGGAAAGACAGAGACCCGUCAAUCAAGCUUUCUAAGAGUUUACCAAUUCAACUAACUAGAAUGGAUGAGAUUGAUACUGAUUUCUUAUACAUGUCACAUCUCUGAUAAUCUUCAAACCGAUAAACAAUAUUGAACUACUGAAACACAAGAUCAAAGACAAUUACUUGAUAUAUCAUAAAGAUUUUUUCUUUAUUUAUUUCAUUCCUAUAAUCAAUCAAUAAUAGCCCAAGAAACUAUACAAUCAAUUAUAUGAUGUAUAUGAUCAAAGCUGUUUCAAUUCUUCUAUGUCUUACUUGGAAGAGGUGGGAUACUCUGCUCAUUCCUGAAGAAAUUUUCUGGAUCAACAGCAGUCUUCACCUUCACCAAUCUGUCGAAAUUGUCGUUGAAGUACAUCAAUCCAUACACCUUCCCCUGUUCAUAGCUAUCCUUCCCAAAAUCGUUAACACCAAUGUCGAGGUCCCUAUAGUUCAAGAAAGCACUCCUUGGAUUCUUGGACACAAAUGGAGUCAUAAAACUGUAAAGCACCCUACUUUGGUUCAAAUACAUAUUAAUUGCUUCCUCUCCUCCAUCGUCCCAAUUCACCGAGUACUGAAUCUUAAACAAAUUCCCGGUCCGGUGAGGAAAAGGCGCAUCAGAGGCCGGAAUUUGAGCCAUUUUCCCACCAUAUGGAUUGAACACUAAACCAGUCUUCCCUUCAAUCAUCUUGUUCCACAAUGACUCCAACCCUUCUCUCGAAAUCGGGGUCUGCACGUAAUCUGACUUCCUCUUCCCAAAACUCGCCUGGUCUAGAUUUCGAUCAAGCAAAACCUCCGGUUUAGUCGUAUUGGGAGUAGAACCAUCGUUCCACCAAACCACAGACUCAAUCCAACUCACUUCCAAACAGUCCUCCUUCUUCAAACUCAAUUCAGGAAACUCCUUACCCAAAAUAGAAACUAACUGAUUAGCAUUGCCUAGAUACUGGGCCAGAACCGAAAUCCUCACAGUCUUGGUUCCCUUCUUGGUCGGAGAAGUCACCGGCUGCACCAACAUCCUCAUCCACAAAUCAUCCACCGUACUCGGCGCCACCUCCUGCCACCUCAAAACGACGUCGGUUGCAUUACUCUCCGUGUAACUCAUCACCCGGAAAACCGUAACCGUUUCCGGCACCGGAACUAGCUUCAACUUAUAAGACAAGAUCACUCCAAAGCUUCCUCCACCGCCGCCUCUGAUAGCCCAAAACAAAUCCUCCCCCAUUGUUUUUCUAUCCAGAAGCUUCCCGUUCACAUCAACAAUCAAUGCAUCCAACACAUUAUCGACGGCAAGGCCGUACUUCCUCAACAAGUUCCCAUAACCGCCGCCGCUGACGUGUCCACCGACACCGACCGUGGGACAAAUCCCAGCGGGAAACCCGAGCGUUUUACUCUUCUCGGCGAUCCUGUAGUACAACUCCCCAAGAGUCGCGCCGGCCUGGGCCCACGCGUAGCCGGCCUCGGCGUUCACGUCGAUUGACCGGAAGUUAAACAGGUCGAGGACAACGAAAGUGGGUUCCGUCGAGACGUAAGAUCUACCUUCGUAGUCGUGUCCGCCGCUUCGGAUUUUGAGUUGGACAUUGAGUUUCUUGGCGCAGAGGACGGAGGCCUGGACGUGGGACUCCGUCGUCGGCGUUAGGAUGAGAACUGGUUUUGGAGUCGAGGUGGUGUUGAAGCGAGCGUUACGGAUGUAGGCUCUGAGAGUUGAAGUGAAAGAAGGGUUGUUUUGGGGGAUGACUAUUUGGGAGGCUGAAGAGUUUGGGUGGGUGUUGAGGCAUUGGACGAAGUCGUCAUAGAGAGAAGCGGAGGUUGCAGAGACGUGAAGAAGGAGAAGCAGGAGAAGAACAGAGGAGAGGAAUGUAGUGUGAAGAGAUCGUGUCGUCAUUUGAGGUUUGGUGUUGGAAUAGUUGUGAGGUUGUGUGUCGCUCUUAUAUAGGGUCGAAUAUAUUAAAAUCACCGGCCGCAGGUUUUAGAAAGUUCAACGGAAAAUUUAGGAAAGUCAAUCUGUUUUGAGGUUAUGGAAAGUCGGCAAAAUCUCUACAUACACACGUUUACUUCCGUUUUUAUUCGAUGAUGCAAAGAACAUCAAAAUAAACUGAAAAAACAAACCUUACCCUUUUUUUUUUUUUUUUUUUUUUGAGAUGAAAGGAGAUAGUUUCAUUGAUCAAAGAUCAUGACGACAAAAAUGGUCAAGCAUGAAUAGUCCGAAAACUAUACGAGCAUCAUAACUAGAAAACUAAAUACGGACUACAAGCAUGAAUAGUCCGAAAACCAUACAAGCAGCAUAGCUAGAAAACUAAAUACGGACUACAACAAAAAAUUAAAAAAAUAACCUCAAAACUAUGUUAAAAAAGCAUAUAACUUUCUAUCCUCUAACAAACAACUCCACUUUCAUCGAAUCAAAUCUAAGAUCUCAUGGUGUACCUUUUAUCGAAUUGAAAAAAAAGAGAAUUGUUGUUAAAGAAUAUAAGGGGUCUUUCCUAGCUACACUAGGAGACUACUAUGCCUCAGCCUCUAAGUUGAGGCCUGGGUCUUCAACACCUGCAACCUGUGAUACACUCGAAGCCAUGGAAUCUGGAGACUCAGAUGCUCCUUCUAUAACUCUCUUCUUGUUCUUGCUACCUCUCGAUCUUCCUCUCUUCUUGGGAGACUUUCUAGUCUUAGCAAUACUCAGAUCACCAUUAGGGUUAACAUAAAAGCCAAGUUCAUUAGGGUUCAAAGACAAUGGAACCAUUGCCAGAGCAUGUCGAGCACGCUUACCAUUUGGAGACAUUUCUUUUUCACGUUCUUGCCGAAUUCCUAUAAUCAUUGUAGGAGAGGGAAAAACAGGCACCUCUGUGAUGGUUACAACUCUCUUCUCUUUAGGGAAGAGGGAAGAAAGCGACACAGAAGCUAGAGCGAAUAGUGUGGAAGGCAUGUUGACUCUAAUUAAACACCAUGGGAGGUACUGCAACUGGGCUCAGAAUCACUGUCGGAGCUUCAUCCUCUUGUUCUCUUGGACAUGGCAGCCUGCCAUGGUUUAGCAUAGAACACACACGACAUCGACCCAUGAGACGUUUAUAGCGAAAUUAAACUUCCAGAACAUCAAUAAGGGAAACCCUAAUGCGUUGACUUAACCUCACAGGCUUAUCUAACAUUAGGGUUAGAUGAACCCUAACAAUUUCACGGUUAAUACCAUGUUGAUCCACUUACAGAACCGGUCCAAUCGUUUCACCUACUAACCUUGUCGUAGCCGCCAUUGUCAGUGCAGCCGUAAGUACAAGGAUUUCCACCAAUAACCAAAGGAAAUUCAAAGGGACUUGCCUAAUAUCAGAGAAUCUAUCAUAGUCAUUGAUGAUGAUCAUUGAGUGCUGGUAAGCCCAAGAACCGCCCUUCUUGACUCGAUUGACAUCACAUUCGCUAGCGAAUGUAAACAUGUAGCGAUCACCUCUUGCUUGAACUUCAACUGGAUAAGGGAGAGGCCACAUAUUGCGAACAACACUUCGAAACGCAUCAAAAGCCACUGCCCUAGCAGUGUUGAGGCGUCCGACCAAGUAGUAUCGAGGAGCAAUAGAACCUUUCUUCGGGCACUGAAGGUCACCCAAAUCAACAGGCUCUUCCUAGUUAGAGAGAGAGAGCUUUGAGAUCAGCCUUGCCGUGAGAGAGGCUUGGGAGGCUACCAUGGUUGCCAUGGAAGAGGACUUGCGCCGCACAGUAAAACCCUAACGCUAUCAAGGGAGAGAGACCUAGGGUUAGGAGCCGCAGUAUGAGCUAUAAAACAUACCCAUUUCUUGUUUUCUCGUUUCAAAAAUAAAAGCCGUAUUAUUUUUUAGAUAAUGAUAUUUAAUUAAAGAAAAGUAGUAUAUCAACCGAAGAACAUUAAUUAUGAACCGAUUGUAACAUCUUGGUCCAAGCUGAUAAACGAAGAGUCUCACUCUUUGCUAUCCAUUGUUCGGUGCACUUGUAUGAUGUGAUGAGAAUUAGUUAGGAAAAUUAAGUUCUAGUUAACUUGGUUGGGUUUCCUAAUUGGAUAUGGUUUAUGUUUAUUCCAUUAUGGUUUUCCUACGAUCAAUGGGAUUGUGAUUGGGGUGCCCAUGUAUAUACUAGGGUUUGUUUGUUGUACAAACCUGUAUCCUUACAUACAACUAAAGGAGGAGAGAGCAUGUGCAGCAGGGGGUGUUGGGUUUUGGAGAAUUUGCCUGGAAAAGCAUAUAUGCAUAGGAUGCAUAUCUGUACAACAAAAUUUUUCAUAUACUGGAGGCAAAUGCAGUAAACCAAGGAGUGGCCAACACAACAUGAUGGUUGAUGCAGUUAUCGUCAUAGUGUAUGUCUCUUGGGUAAGAAAGCAGGGAUGUCAUGGGUGAGUAUGGCUCUUGGGUGAGAGUGUGUUCUUAGGAAAUUCUCAUGAGCGUCGGUGUACAAGGGUUACAGUUUUGGGAUAAGGCAAUUUAGCUCCAUAGUAUCGUGUAUUGUAAUUAUUCUCAUAGUGAUGAACGACCAUCUCUCGGAGGAUGUAGGGAUAGAUGUAUGUUGAACCUCGUAAUCUCGGUGUUCUCUUGUUGUUUGUCUUUUGGUUUGUGUACUACUAUGUCGGUAUACUUUGUAAGCCUUAACAGGAGCUAUGCUAAUUUCCUAACAAGCACGAACGCUGAGAACACAGGUUUUCUUUUCCGAUGAAACAUGUUAUCUUCAGUUGGUAAAAUGUAUCCACAUAUGUUGGUUUUGCAUAGCUUCUUUUGGUAUAAAUAAAAGUAUAAAAUUUAGAUAACAUCUCUAAUACACGGCGUUUAUCUUCACAUACAUACAUAGAUGAUCAAAAUUAGAGAAAAUAAUAUAAAAAUAUAAUGAUCAAAUAUAUAAAUUAUUAUAAACGAUUAAGAUUAUAUAACGUAAAUACAUGUCAUGCAUAUAAGAAUUUUUAUAAAAUUUAAGAGAUAUGUGUUCGGCUCGAUUACAUUAUCUUUGACCAGGACCUACACGCACCAUGUUUAUAUGGAAGCGAAUCAAACCACGUACAUUCAGAAGCUGCAAUUUUUUUAAGGACAUGGGAUGCUUUUGACGUUUCUUUGUCAACCCACUAAUUCAACUCGUAGGAAACCGUAACUUUUGCUAAUGAUUAAAUUUAGGAUACAAGAAAUUCACCCGUAAUUCAACGGCCAGUCCACAACUCUUACUCGAAAGCAUUAAUAAGUUUGGCAUGAAUUAUUUGUCCAAUACCGUAUAGCUAGAAUACUAUAUUUGAGAUAAUAUGAAUUUUUUUUUUUGAUAUUCUAUUCUUCUAUCGCCGGAAAAGCCAAAGGUCAACAUGCCUUCCUUGGAAGAGGUGGAAUACUCUGCUCAUUCCGGAAGAAAUUUUCUGGAUCAACUGCAGUCUUCACCUUCACCAACCUAUUGAAAUUGUCGUUGAAGUACUUCAAUCCAUACACCUUCCCCUGUUCGUAGCUAUCCUUCCCAAAAUUGUUCACACCAAUGUCGAGGUCCCUAUAAGCCAAGAAAGCACUCCUUGGAUUCUUGGACACAAAUGGGGUCAUAAAACUGUAAAGCACCCUAGUUUGAUUCAAAUACUCUUUAGUUGCUUCCUCUCCUCCAUCUUCCCAACUCACCGAGUACUGAAUCUUAAACAAAUUCCCAGCCCGAUGAGGAAAAGGCGCGUCGGAGGCCGAAACUCGGGCCAUUUUCCCACCAUAUGCAUUGAACACCAAACCAGUCUUCCCUAAUUCAAUCAACUUCUUCCACAAUGACUCCAACCCUUCUCUUGAAAUCGGGGUCUGCACGUAAUCCGACUUCCUCUUCCCGAACUUAGCCUGGUCGGGGUUUCGAUCAAGCAAAACCUCCGGUUUGGUGACAUUAGGAGUCGAACCAUCGUUCCACCAAACCACGGAUUCAAUCCAACUCAUCUCCAAACAGUCCUCCUUCUUCAAACCCAGUUCAGGAAACUGCUUACCCAAAACUGAAACCAACUGAUUAGAAUUGCCUAGAUACUGGCCCAGAACUGAAAUCCUAACAGUGUUGGUUCCCUUCUUGGUCGGAGAACUCACCGGCUGCACCAACAUCCUCAUCCACAAAUCAUCCACCGUACUCGGCGCCACAUCCUGCCACUUCAAAACGACGUCGGUUGCAUUACUCUCCGUGUAACUCAUCACCCGGAAAACCGUUACCUUUUCCGGCACGGGAACCAACUUCAGUUUAUAUGCCAAGAUAACCCCAAAGCUUCCUCCGCCGCCGCCUCUGAUAGCCCAAAACAAAUCCUCCCCCAUUGCUUUCCUAUCCAGAAGCUUCCCGUUCACAUCAACAAUCAAUGCAUCCAAUACAUUAUCGACGGAGAGGCCAUACUUCCUCAACAAGUUCCCAUAACCGCCGGCGCUGACGUGUCCACCGACGCCGACCGUGGGACAAAUCCCAGCGGGAAACCCUAGCGUUUUACUCUUCUCGGCGAUUCUGUAGUACAACUCCCCGAGAGUCGCGCCUGCCUGGGCCCACGCGUAGCCGGCCUCGGCGUUCACGUCGAUCGACCGGAAGUUAAACAAGUCCAGGACUACGAAAGUUGGUUCGGUCGAGACGUACGAGAUACCCUCGUAGUCGUGUCCGCCGCUUCGGGUUUUGAGCUGGACGUUGAGUUUCUUGGCGCAGAGGACGGAGGCCUGGACGUGGGACUCGGUCUUCGGCGUGAGGAUGAGAACUGGCUUUGGAGUCGAGGUGGUGUUGAAGCGAGCAUUACGGAUGUAGGCUCUGAGAGUUGAAGUGAAAGAAGGGUUGUUUUGGGGGAUGACUAUUUGGGAGGCUGAGGAGUUUGGGUGGGUGUUUAGGCAUCGAACGAAGUCGUCAUAGAGAGAAGCGGAGGUUGCAGAGACGUGAAGAAGGAGAAGGAAGAGGAGAACAGAGGAGACGAACGUAGUUUGAUUAGAUCGUGUCGUCAUUUGAGGUUUGGUGUUGGAAUAUUUGGGAGGAUUUGUGUCGCUCUUAUAUAGGCUAAGGUAGGUUAAUAUCACCGGCCGGGAGGUUUUAGAAAGUUCAACGGAAAAUUUAGGAAAGUAAAUAAUCUGUUUUACGGUUAUGGAAGGUCCGCAAAAUCUCUACAUAAACUGCUCGAGUCAGCCAUACAUCAUAAGUUGGUUCAAACAAAAUAAAAUUUUACCAUAUGUAUGUUUUGCAAGGAAACAUUUGUGGCCGAAAAUUAAGAGCCAUUGAAUUACCAAUCAGGUUAAAUUUAGACUAAACAAACAUGAAACUGGCAAUAAAAAGUUAAAUCAAGAUUUAAUACUGAUUAGCAAUCACUGAUUGGCAAUCAACAAUGUGAUUAGCAAUCAGUAAUUAAUAGCUAUCCACGAUUAGCAAUCAAUGAGUUUAUAUCUUUAUGUUUUGGUGGUAUUUGCCUGCUGAUUUCAUUCUUAAUUAUGUAGUCAGGAUUAUCUAGGAUUUUUUUCUUUUUUUUAUAGGAUUAUCUAGGAUUCUUAGACUUUCCUAAUUUUCAUUUCCGUUAGUUUUGCUUAGUUUUGCUUCAUAGCUUGAACUGAAUCAUCUGUUGUUUACUUUGUCGGAUCCUACUUUGUCUGGGACGCAAUAUUUUUUUUUUUUGUAAAGCUGGUUGGGUCUCCCGCCUUUAGGUUGGCCUAUGUCCCCUCCACCCUAUAUCAUUAUUAAUAAUAGAUUGAGAAUACACCGAGAGGGAUAUAGAGUCUGAACCUUGUAUAAUAUUACAUGCAUCCUCAAUAAGCACAUCCUGUUUUAUAUCAGGCAUACCAUUGACCCAAAACUCAUCCAAUAUGGAUCCAUUAGCUAGGUGAGUCAGUCUAUGCGCAACACCAUUAGCUUCACGAAAGAUAUGUCUAACUAAAACAAAACUAAAAGCUUGCAAAUAUGACUUACAGUCGUUCAUUAUUGGGGACGCAAUAUAUAUCAUUUUGGAGUUUGGACACUUCAGGCAUAUACAUUUUCUCAUUAUUGGGUAUGCCGAAAUAAAUUUUAUCUCUAGUAGGCUCUAUGUACCCAUAAUUUCUAAAAAACGUCUACUUACAUAAGAGAAAAGAUUAUGAGUUCAUAAAUAUAAUGUUGUGAGAUUUGGCCAUAUUUUAUAGAACUCGAUCUCACGAGCUCUCCCACAUAUACAAGAAAUCGUGUGAGAUUUGGGAGUGGAUCAAAUUUUUGGAAGAUAAGCCUUGUGGGGAAUUGCCCAGAUCAAAGUGUAUAAAGAAGAUGAACUAUUUUUUUCUUUUAAAAAAAGAAAAACUAAGAGGAAACUGAAUCAUGUACAAUCCUGUAGAGAUUCAUUCUCUCAUACUUUCAAGUUUCAGCAUAACCAGAAUGCCGCGCAUUGUUUGUAUAAUUUUCUCUUGAAUCUAAGAUAUUUUUUUUUUUCUUUCAAGAAAAAAAAUCUUAGAUAAUUGAUUUCGGCAAAUCUAUUGAUAUUAUUGGGUCUUUUUUUUUGCCACUAAUCAAGUCCUGUGACUUAUAAAUAUCACAGCUUCGAGUCCAGUAGGAAUGUAGAAUAAACAAUCAAAACCUUUGGCAUAAUUUCUUGCUCAAACCUCCCCAAAACAUGGGAACAGUAUCAGUUUUGUUUAUCAUUACGGUUGCGGUUGCGUUCGUUUUGUUUCCGGUUUAUUCAAAACAAGAUUAUAAGCUAGACAACUUUAGCUCAACUGAUCUCAGCCAAAUCAACCAGAAUGGUACGUAUUGUGCUUGUGCUUGUAUGAUUUCAAGAACCCCAACUCUAAUUUUUAACUCUGUUUUCUUUUAUCAGACGAUAGCUUUUCAGGCACACAAAUACUAGACGCAGGGAAGUGUUCAAAGGCUGCUAUUUCGAUUGCACAAAUGCAAACUGGGCUAUCGUAUAAUGGAAUACCAGUUUUUACUGUUCAAAUCAUAAACAUGUGCGGCUCAGAGUGUGACAUUUCGGAUAUCCAUUUAUCCUGUGGUGCAUUCAGCUCUGUCACUUUGAUCAACCCUAUGGUUUUCAAGCGGCUUAAGAUUAAUGACUGCCUUGUCAAUGGUGGACGACCAUUGAAACAUGGCUCUGUCAUCUCAUUUACAUAUCAAACGUCCUUCAUAUAUCCUCUUUCUGUUGCCUCGGUCGGAUGCUAAAUAAGUAGUAGAUAUGUUGCUAGCUACGCAGAUUGAUUUCUUAGAGCCCUGUAGGCAUAUAUGUAACACACCAGUAUAGUAGCCAGGCUACUUGAUAUAUGUAUGGUGGAAUAAGAUUCUUUUGUUGUCAAAUUUUCUAGUAAUUUCUUGCUGCCCUAGUUAGUUGCAUCCAAAAGCUCCAAUCUCUAUAUGGUAGCAGUUACCAAUAUUUGAGCGUUGUUUUUCUCUACUCUGUUUCAGGGUUCAGUAGACUCUUUCAAUUUACUUCCAUUCCUGUUUCUGAAAAUAAUCAAAUAUGGGUAGUAGAUGUACUGGUUACUGAUAAAAAAAAAUUGUGGUUUGGCCGCUUGGGACCAAAAUUUGGGAAGUAAGAUGUGUCAAAUUUGCACUUCAUGAGAAAGCUUCAUGGUAUUUCUUGAAGUGGUUGUACUUAAGAAAAACCAACAGUAGUGUUCAUUCACAAACAAGACACAGGGGUCCCCAAAUAGGCUAAGAAAUAACGAAAAUUAUACAGCGCACCCGUCCAUCUCCGCCGUCCAUUUUGAAAAAGUCAAAAGUCCGCGUCAAAUGGACGGCGGAGAUGGACGGAUGCGCUGAAUACGCUCUCAGGAAAUAAUGGGCAAUCUGUGAUUCAAGACAUUCUUCACCUUGAACUUCAACUUCUAUAGACACCAACUCCAACCGGUAGUAUUACUAGUAGCCACUAAUUUUCCUCCAAAAUCCAAAUAGAAGCAUUUUCAAUAUCAGAACAAAUUUACCCGUUUAAAUUCAUUGUAUGUCGGCUCCGGAUCAAGAGACACCUUAUUUUACACAUCUUUUUACACCAAUUUUUAACCAUUAGAUUUAAAUGAUUUCAAUGGCCAAGAUUAAUUUCAUUUAUGAUGUGGCAAAAUGGCAUGGAAGCAAUUAUUUUUAGUGAGAAAAUACACCAAAAUUAAUAGAUAAAAAUUUAAUAAAUAAAAAAUAAAUUUAUAAGAAAAAAACAAAGAAGAAGAAGAUGAUUAUCGAAACGUCUUCAUCUUGUGAUGGACGUCUUCUUCUUCUGGAAAUAUUCAUGAGAGCCGGCCUUGCUCUCGAUCUCCUUUUAGCAUCAAUUCCUUUUUUUUGCUUGAGUUGAACCAUUAAAUCCGUCAUCCCCCAGUCCCUUUCAUUCCAUCAAAUUAAUAUUAGCAAUUGCAGUUUUUAUAUCUCUGUUCUUCUUCUUGGGUCUUCAAUGGCUUUCCAUAUAUAUGCCUCAUUCUUUCUUUUACCCCAAAGCAUAACCUAUCAUAAUUCAUUCGAUCUAGCCAUCUAGGUUUAGAAUAUACAUAUAUAGGGUAAUAUAUAGAUAGAUGAAGAAGAUUGAUUUUGUUGGUUUUUUUUUUUUUUUUUUUUUUGGGGUCUCCAUUUAAAGUUCUGAACAAUCGAUCAUAUAGGGUUUUGCAAUCAACUUAGAGGGAGGAUGAAGAUAUGUUUUCUUUUCUGUGUGAAGAGGAAGAAGAUGAAGUUUCAUCUUCUAAUUUUCUAAUUUUUUAUUUUUAUUUAGAAAAGAAAACUAUUUCUAUGUCAUUUGCCAUAUCAUAAAUGAAAUUAAUCAUGGCCGUUAAAAUCACUUAAAUCUAAUGACUAAAAAUCGGUGUAAAAAGAUGUGUAAAAUAAGGUGUCCUUUGAUUCGGACCAGUAAGACAAUCCACAACAUCUUAUACAUACAAAUGUCUAUUCCUUCAUCAGCUAUUUUUGCUCUUAUAGGUUAGCAAGCUAUAAAUAACUAAAUAAAGUUCAACAUAUACACAGUUACACAAAGCAGUCUUCACUCCACCAUUUUGCCAUUCCAAGAAGUAAGAGGUGGGAUACUUUGUUCAUACCUGAAAAAGUUUCCUGGAUCAACAGCAGUCUUCACUUGUACCAACCUCUCAAAGUUUCCCUUAAAGUAGUUUGUCCCCCAAACACUAGCUUCUGAGUAGCUCACAUUGCCGUUUCCAUUAGUCCCCAAAUCAACAUCUCUGUAAUUUAGAUAUGAACACCUUGGUGACUUUGACACAUAAGGUGCCAUAUACUUGUAAAGCCUCCUUAUCAAAUCAAGAUGUUUAUCUUCAGCCUCUGAACCUUCCUCUUUCCAAUUCACUGAGUACUGGAUUUUGUACACAUUUCCUGCUCUAUGUGGGAAUGGGGUGUCAAGCUCCGAAAUUUUGCUCAUUUUCCCACCAUAAGGAUUGAAUGUUAGUACUGGCUUUUUCAGCUCCCUCAUCUUGUUCCACAGCCCUUCAAGACUAGCCUUUGACAUUGGUUCUUGGAUGUAGUCAGAUUUCUUCUUCAAGAACUUUUCUGACUGUGGUAUUCUUUCAAGCAGCACAUCUGCAGAGGUUCCAAUUGGAUAGUUAGACCAAUACAGGACCGAUUCGAUCCAACCGAUUUCGACAUAGUCCUCAUGCUUCAAACCCAAUCGGGGAAACCUCUCACCCAUCAAAGCUUCAAGCUUUUCUGCAUUUCCUAAAUACAAAGCAACAAAUUUAGCUUUCACAGUCCUCUGUGUUUUCCUAUUCACCGGCAUCACAACCACCCUAAUGAAAAGAUCAUCAUCUAUUGUAUUCCCUACAUGCUGCCAUUGAUGAACAAUGUCGGUGGCGCCUUGCUCCAAAGUCCUCUCAACUCUAAAAACUGUGACAACUUCUGGGACUUGAACCAAUUUGAUCUUCCACGAAACAAUGACACCAAAACUAGCUCCACCUCCACCUCUAAUAGCCCAAAAGAGGUCUUCCCCCAUUGACUCUCUAUCCAAAAGCCUUCCAUUAACAUCAACUAUUUGAGCAUCAAGAAUGUUAUCAACUGAUAACCCAUGUUUCCUCAUCAUAUUUCCAUACCCACCUCCACUUAAGUGUCCUCCAACUCCCACAGUAGGACAAACCCCAGCUGGGUAGCCAUGGAUUUUGCUCUGCUCAGCUAUUCUGUAAUAAACUUCACCUAGUGUUGCUCCAGACUCGACCCAAGCACUUUCUUCUUCAAUGUUAACUGUUAUGGAUCGAAGAUUGAACAUAUCAAUAAUAAUGAAUGGAACAUCUGAGAUGUAAGAGAGGCCAUCAUAGUCAUGGCCACCACUGCGGAUUCUGACUUGAAGGUUAUGGAUUUUGGAGCAGAGGAUUGAGGCUUGGAUGUGAGAGACAUGUGUUGGAGUGACAAUGAAUGAGGGUGUUGGGGUUUUGGGGGUUGUGAAUCUAAGGUUUCUUAUGUAUGAAUGUAAGAUUGGUGUGUAUGAAGGGUCGGUGGGGAAAUAGGUGACUGAUGAGAUUGAUGGAGAUGGGGAUUGGGUAAGAUUGGAGAGGCAUUGGAGGAAGGUGUCUUGGAUUGAAUCUAAAGCUGCCAUGGAAGCAUGGAGAAGAAGGAAGGUGACAACUGCCAGAGUUGCAGAAGUAGUUUGGGUUGACAUGACUUUGGGAGUUGGCUUUCGCCACAUUGAUCACCAAGUAGUGUUUAGGACAAGCUAAGAAGCAAGUAGGAAGUUGCUGCUUGCAAGUCUUCUUCUCAAGUGUUAGGGCUGGUGUCUGAUAAUUGAGGAAAGAGAAUUAGCCUUCCCAAUGUCCCAACUCCCAAUUUUUCAAGAAUGGUGACAUUUAACAGCGAAUUUCUUCUGUGCACCGAUCAUGAGUUUACUCCAGCAUUAAAUUCUAUUGGAGCAGUGGAGUUUACUCCAGCACUAUUUCUACUCGAAUUGUGAUCGUCUUCAUUUCCAUGAGCCAGUAAACAACUGCAUGAAAAUGACUCUCGUUUUAGAUGAUUUCCGAGUUAGUAAAUAUGUCAUAAAUUGUGCUCUGAUAAUCACUCGAAUUGUGAUUAUCUUCAUUCUAGUUAGGUUUCGCCACAUUGAUCACCAAGUUAGUAAAUAACUGAAUAGAAUUGAAAUAUUUUCAUACCGAUUACUUCUCUUUCCGUAACAUAAAUUAACAUAUGCUCUAAAAUAAAAGGAAAAGUAAUAACUUGGACAGGACCAGUGUAUUCUUAGUUUGGGCCUCCUCGACUGGUUUAGAUCAUUGGGCGUGUAAGCCUUUUAAAUUUCGAAGGCCCAUUUGUAUAUUAUGUAAAUCCAAAUACGCUAAACCCUACAGCUCACCCAAAACACGAGUUCAUACUCUUCGCUCUCCACUCUCGACGAAACCCCAGAAAGAAUCUGGUUGCGCCAAAGCUAUGGCCUUCUCCUCUAUGCGGAAUCUGGCUCGGUCAGGCGUCAGUCUUCCCUUAUUGAGGUUCGUAACCCAUCAAUUUCGCUUCUUUGAACUCUUGUGUUUUCAAUUUCGAUAUCAGGGAUCUUUACAGAUGUGUUUCAGAAUGAGAUCAUUGGGUGUCUACAGAAUGAAACUAAGACUGUGUUGGUUUUGUGUCGUUUUCAGAACCCAGUUCGAAAGAACCCAGCUUGAAAGGACCCAGUUCGUCAGGUCCUUUUGGAAGGGAAGCAGAGGGUAUGUUUUUACUUUUUUUAUACCUUCUAAUUUAUACAUUUCUGGGUCUUGAAUUGAUAGCUUGUUUAAGCAUGUGGUUGCUGAAUCGUUUUUUUUGGAUGAAUAUGUACUGAUGUUCGGGUUUAGAUUCGGUGCUUGAUUCUUUACAUUGAGUCGCCUGUGUAGUAUUUUUCAUAGAUGAACAAAACAGGCUCUGCAUUCUUUAAUUUCAAGUGUUGCUUCUACUUUUACUCGUACUAUGUAUCGAACUAUGUUUUUUCUAUGUUUCCGAGUGUUACUGUUAUUCCUGCAUGUUUGGUAUCUGUAGUCAAUUUGGUUGGGUUGGUUUGUGAGUUGCUUACUCAUCAGAUUGAUUAAGGGUGCUGCUCAUUGCUAGGUCUAAUUACUGUUUUGUUGUGAAUUUGGAAUUUAGGCGAUUGGAAAAAGGUAUGCAAGAGAAGUUGAAGUACUUGAUUGACCAGGGAGUUAAAAUAGAAAUGGUGGAAGAUAAGAACCAGCCAGUAGGGAAGUAUACCUUAGAAAUGCAUCCCUACACUAUGGAGGUAAUACAAGUUUGGGCCAAACAAUUAAAGAUUUUAGGGAUGUUGACUGAUCUUCACAUUCUUGCUGAAACCAAGUUGACUUUGCGUGAGUCCGGGUUGUUGGCGUCCCUAUACAAGCACGGCCCAAAUGACACUUGGAGAGCUGUAGCUCAGAGAAUCAAAGGGAAAACUACUAGAUCUGUUUAUGAACUGAAGACAGUUGAGACACGGCUGGAUGAGAUUCGAGCAUUGGCAAAAGAAAUAUCUACAGUUCUCAUUGUUUAUCAGAAACAAAAGAAGACAGCAUUACAACCCAAAGACAAUAGGACAGAGGUCCUUCCCCAUGACUUUGGAUCCAUUUUGAUCAAGCUUUCUCAACUUCGUUUGAAAUGGAAAGCUAUUGCCUCUUUGGAAAGUGCGACCUUGUUGGAUGAUUCUGAGAUGGAUGAAUUGGUUGAGAUAGAAGCGACAAUCAAAGAAGUGCAUAAUAUUGUGGUUGUCCAACAACUGUUGGAAAAAGAUGUGUAGAUAGGACCAGAUCAUUUUAAGAUUUUAGUUAGCAAUUGAAACUUCAUGUCACUGUAGGAAGUUUGUUUAACUAUAGUCUCUUUACCUAUUGUUAUUUUGUGUGCUGAAGUUAAGACUUACUGUAAUUGCUAGCUACUAUUGUAAGUCUUAUAGGCAAAGUCUUCCAGAAGUUUGUUAGCCAAUUUUGUGUCGCUUCUUGUAACUUUCCUCCCUAUUUAGUUCUUUUCUGCUUGUAUAUUCUUGCUCCUUUUGUUAUUAAUAUGCUAUUCCUACAGAAGAAAAGAGAAAAAGAGGUGUUGCAUGGAAGCACAUUGUUCUAAUGUACUCUCUUCAUAUCUAAAGAUUAUCAGGAUAAACUCCUGUUUUAAUACCGUUUAAGUUUCAUUUUCUUUCAUGCGUUCCCUAUAAAUUGAUGCCAUCUAUUUUUUUUCUCUUUUUUUUGAGAAUGAAAUUGAUGCCAUCUUUUGGUAUCAUGAUAGCUGAGAAAUGUCUCUCUUGGAGUCUUGAUACAUGAGGACUCAUUGAGUUGAUAAGUUCCCUUACAUAGCUGUUCGCUUAGACUGUGCUGGUAAGGAUUGCAUGGAGGGCCUGUGGAGGUGAUGUAAUUAAGAAUGUUAAAGUAUAUAUUUCAAAUAUGAAAAUACAUUGAAAUAAAAAAAAACUUGGCAGAAUGCCAUUUGUGGUUCUGAAGUUGAAGCUAAUUAUAAUUAGACCCUCAAGUUGAUUUGUUUUUCUAUCCGCCCCAACGUUCCCAAUUCUGCUCCCGGCAAAUCAUGGCCUUCUCCUCUACCUGGAAUUAUGUGGCCCAUUCCCGUUUCAAAGGUCAGUAAGCUUUCAAUGCUGCAUGGUUUCUCUUAUCUCUUGGGUUUUCAAUCUUGUUCUUCAAUUUCUCUUGAAAUUGCCUUUGCAGGACCCAGUUUGUUCGUUCAUUUUGGCAGAGGAGUAAAGGGUAUGCAUGGCCUUAACUUUUAUACUUUUGUGCAUUUUAGUUCAUGCGCAGUAAUGAUUUUGGAAUGUUAUUGGCUUGAAAGUUUGAAUCUUUGUUCAAUCUAGAUGAGAUGCAAAAUUGUUAGUUCUCUUUUUCUGUGUUCUCUCUCUCACAUGGAGUUUCUAUGUUCUCUUUGAAACUAAAAAAAUUAGCUCUGGUUUUUCUCUAUUUCCAAAUGUUUCUGUUGUUCUACAUGUUUGAGGUGAGGGAUUUAGUUGAUGGGUUGCCUAUGUGUAGACUUGAUCUAAUAUUGGAUUUGUGGGAUUCUGGAACUUAGAGAAAUGCAAAGAGGUAAAACUGCGAGUAUAAAAGAGCAAAUCGAAAACCUCAAGGUCCGUGGAUUCUGUGUGGAGACACGAAAAGAUAACAACCGGCCUAGAGGACAUUGCUCUAUAGUCAUGGAUCCGCCUUUUUAUAAAAAGCUGAAAAUUAUGGGGGAUCAAGAACGGAUUUUCAGUAUACUGACAGAUCUCUAUAUCUUAUCCGAAGUGAAGUUAACUUUUGGCACGAAGGGUUUGUUUUCUUGCUUGUACGAACAUGGAGUAGAAGACACAUGGAGAGCAUUUGUUGAGACUAUGAAAGGGAGAGCGACUUCUUCCUCCGAUGCUUACUUGAAAGAGGAACUCAAGAGAAUGGAGAAAUGGCUAGACGAUGUGGAGCCUUUGGCAAAAGAAAUAUAUCAGGUGCUGAUUGUUUGCCACAGACAGAAAGUGUCUAAGCCUCAAGGAGAAUUUCAUUUUGAAAUUCUUCCCGACCGUUUUGGUUCGAUUCUGAUUAAGCUAUCAAAGCUUCGGUCGAAAUGGAAAGCUAUUGCAUCCUUGGAGCAUGGAAAUUUGUUAGAUGAAUUAGAAAAGCCAGAACUUGAUUAUGUAGAGAUUUUGAUUGAGGUACACAACUUUGUGGUCGUUCAGCAAGUAUUGCAAGAAUAACUUUGGACACCAGAUAAUGACAUGAUGUUAAAGACUUCAGUUGACAAUAGUAACGUUUUUACAAAUGAAUAGAGCAUGGUUGGGGUUGUUUCUGUUUCUUUUCCCAGUGCUGCGUUGUUGUAUCAGACUCCUUCAUUAAGUGAGUUAUCAAUGCUUGCUUUCUUGGAGAGUUGGAGUGAAUGUAGAUCCAUCAUUCCAUCUAGUCCAAGCACUUGGAAGUACGAUAUUCUCUAAUGCCCAGAAAGUAUCUUCCAACUCCUAUUUUCUUUUAGCAAAAUCUGAUGCUGCUCUGCCUUCACAAUGCCUUGGGACAGAAAACAUCGAUUGCUCUGUUUGUCUCUGAAGAAAUAUACUGAUCUUACGUCUGUUAUAAUAUGAUCUAGUGUCUUAAAAUUCCUCAUGUUCACACUUUGAAUUGGAGUUUGGAACCAUUGCUAUGUCAUAUAGUAAAAGCCUCCCUAUUCUUAGGUUUAGUCUGCAAUUCACUUAGCAAUGAGCUAAAGUUGGCAAUCUUGUGCAAGAAGACUACAAAGCUGAUGCACUUAUUUGAAGCAAAAUCAGUUAAAAUCCAGUAUUUAGUCUCUGAUGGCGACAAGGAAUCUGAGGCAUAUUGGAGAACUGAGAAGAGUAAAUGCCUACAUGGCUGUAUUUUCAGUUUCACCAACUACAUCCUCAGACUAGGAUGCAGAGACAAUAGAUAGAUGAAUGGUUGGAAUGUUUGAUACAUUAGAUUUGUUGCUGAACAAAAUUUCAUGCAUUUCGUUCCUAUUUCUUUUGAAUGUAAUGUUCCAUUUUUCUGUUGUUAUGUUGGUCUAGUAUUACGCGUUCUUCCCUUUAGAGCUAUUAAAGCCUUUGUUGUUUCGGUCUGGUACUGAGGUC